GACGUGAUACACUGCGAAAAGCCGUGGGGAGCUGUGAAUAGGCAUUGAUCCGCGGAUCUCCGAAUGGGGAAACCCACAGAGUAAUCUGUAUCAAUAUCUGAAUCUAUAGGGUAUUGAAGCGAACGCAGGGAACUGAAACAUCUAAGUACCUGUAGGAAAGGAAAUCAACCGAGACUCCGAGAGUAGUGGCGAGCGAAAUCGGACCAGCCAAUUUGCGAUUAGAUAAGAACCGGAAGUGUCUGGGAAGGCACAUCAUAGAGGGUGAUAGUCCCGUACGGGUAGAAAGUUUAAUUGUAAGAGAGUAGGGCGGAGCACGAGAAAUUCUGUCUGAAGAUAGGUCGACCACGAUCUAAGGCUAAGUACUACUGAUUGACCGAUAGUGAACCAGUACCGUGAGGGAAAGGUGAAAAGCACCCCGACAAGGGGAGUGAAAGAGAACCUGAAACCGGAUGCCUACAAGCAGUCGGAGGGGCAUUAAGCCCUGACGGCGUACCUUUUGUAUAAUGGGUCAGCGAGUUAGUUUAUGUAGCAAGCAUAAGCCGAUAGGUGGAUGCGUAGCGAAAGCGAGUGUUAAUAGCGCGUUAAGUUACAUGAAUUAGACCCGAAACCGAGUGAUCUAGCCAUGAACAGGUUGAAGGUUGGGUAACACCAACUGGAGGACCGAACCCACUCCCGUUGAAAAGGUAGGGGAUGAUUUGUGGCUAGGGGUGAAAGGCCAAUCAAACUCGGAAAUAGCUGGUUCUCCGCGAAAACUAUUUAGGUAGUGCGGUAGGCGAACACCAUGAGGGGUAGAGCACUGAAAGAGCUAAGGGGGAGCGAUCCUUACUAAACUUUAUCAAACUCCGAAUACUCAUGAGUGAUACUUACCAGACAGACAGUAGGUGCUAAGGUCUAUUGUCGAGAGGGAAAGAGCCCAGACCGUCAACUAAGGUCCCUAAAUUAUGGCUAAGUGGUAAAGGAAGUGGGAUAUCCAAAACAGUCAGGAGGUUGGCUUAGAAGCAGCCAUCCUUUAAAGAAAGCGUAAUAGCUCACUGAUCUAAAUAAGACGUCCUGCGCCGAAGAUGUAACGGGGCUAAAGCCAUAUACCGAAGUUACGGGAUUGUAUUGCAAUAGAUACAAUCGGUAGCGGAGCGUUCUGUAGGCCUGCGAAGGUAAACCGUAAGGUUUGCUGGAGGUAUCAGAAGUGAGAAUGCUGACAUGAGUAGCGAAAAGAAGAGUGAGAGACUCUUCCGCUGAAAGUCCAAGGUUUCCUGCGUAAAGCUAAUCUGCGCAGGGUUAGUCGGCCCCUAAGGCGAGGCAGAGAUGCGUAGCUGAUGGGAACACGGUUAAUAUUCCGUGACCAGUUAGGAAGUGACGGAUACAGUAGUUUGUACAUGCUUAAUGGAUUGUGUGUGCAAGUGAUGUGUCCCGGGAAAUAGCCCUAACGAAGACCGUACCCGAAACCGACACAGGUGGACAGGUAGAGUAUACCAAAGCGCUUGAGAGAACUAUGUUGAAGGAACUAGGCAAAAUGCUUGUGUAACUUCGGGAUAAGCAAGCCCGGUUUUAAGGCAACUUAAGGCCGGGGGCACAUACUAGGGGGUAGCGACUGUUUAACAAAAACACAGGACUCUGCGAAAUUGAAAGAUGAAGUAUAGGGUCUGACGCCUGCCCGGUGCCGGAAGGUCACGCGGAGGAGUUAGCCAUUUCGGCGAAGCCCCGAAGCCAAGCCCCGGUAAACGGCGGCCGUAACUAUAACGGUCCUAAGGUAGCGAAAUUCCUUGUCGGGU
rnacentral:rRNA from 1 species